rnacentral:rRNA from 1 species
CAGAGGGUUUUGAUUCUGGCUCAGAUUGAACGCUGGCAGGAUGCUUACACAUACGGUCAGACGGCAGCGGUUCGGUCUGGUGGCGAGUGGCGAACAGGUGAGUAAUGUAUCGGAACGUGCCUAGUAGCGGGGGAUAACUGCGCGGCGUAGCUAAUACCGCAUACCCUUCGGGGGAAAGCCGGGGGACCUUCGGGCCUCGCACUAUUAGAGCGGCCGAUAUCGGAUUAGCUAGUUGGUGGGGUAACGGCUCACCAAGGCGACGAUCCGUAGCUGGUUUGAAGGACGACCAGCCACACUGGGACUGAGACACGGCCCAGACUCCUACAGGAGGCAACGGUGGGGGAAUUUUGGACAAUGGGGGAAAGCCCUGAUCCAGCCAUCCCGCGUGUGCGAUGAAGGCCUUCGGGUUGUAAAGCACUUUUGGCAGGAAAGAAACGGCACGGGAUAAUACCCCGUGCAACUGACAGUACCUGCAGAAUAAGCACCGGCUAACUACGUGCCAGCAGCCGCGGUAAUACGUAGGGUGCAAGCGUUAAUCGGAAUUACUGGGCGUAAAGCGUGCGCAGGCGGUUCGGAAGAAAGAUGUGAAAUCCCAGAGCUUAACUUUGGAACUGCAUUUUUAACUACCGAGCUAGAGUGUGUCAGAGGGAGGUGGAAUUCCCGCGAUGUAAGCAGUGAAAUGCGUAGAUAUGCCGGAGGAACACCGAUGGCGAAGGCAGCCUCCUGGGAUAACACUGACGCUCAUGCACGAAAGCGUGGGGAGCAAACAGGAUUAGAUACCCUGGUAGUCCACGCCCUAAACGAUGUCAACUAGCUGUUGGGGCCUUCGGGCCUUGGUAGCGCAGCUAACGCGUGAGACCGCCUGGGGAGUACGGUCGCAAGAUUAAAACUCAAAGGAAUUGACGGGGACCGCACAAGCGGUGGAUGAUGUGGAUUAAUUCGAUGCAACGCGAAAAACCUUACCUACCCUUGACAUGUCUGGAAUCCCGAAGAAUUUGGGAGUGCUCGCAAGAGAACCGGAACACAGGUGCUGCAUGGCUGUCGUCAGCUCGUGUCGUGAGAUGUUGGGUUAAGUCCCGCAACGAGCGCAACCCUUGUCAUUAGUUGCUACGAAAGGGCACUCUAAUGAGACUGCCGGUGACAAACCGGAGGAAGGUGGGGAUGACGUCAGAGUCUCAUGGCCCUUAUGGUGGGGCUUCACACGUCAUGCAAUGGUCGGGACAGAGGGUCGCCAACCCGCGAGGGGAAUAAUCCCAGAGAAGCCGAUCGUAGUCCGGAUCGCAGUCUGCAACUCGACUGCGUGAAGUCGGAAUCGCUAGUAAUCGCGGAUCAGCAUGUCGCGGUGAAUACGUUCGGAGUCUUGUACACACCGCCCGUCACACCAUGGGAGUGGGUUUUACCAGAAGUAGUUAGCCUAACCGUAAGGAGGGCGAUUACCACAUUAGGAUUCAUGACUGGGGUGAAGUCGUAACAAGGUAA